GCCCCCGCCCGCUGCCGCCUCCGACAACCUCUGGCAAAGCCUCCACUUACCUCUGCUGUCUCCACCCACUUCCGCCUCUGCCUCAUCCCAAAGCCACCGUCUAAUCGCUCUUGCCUCUGUUUCUCCUUCUCCAACUGUCCCAUCAUCGACCCCGAUUACCAGAAGUAUCGUUGGAAGCCUCUCGACUGUGAGCUCCCCAGUUCAAUGGGCUUGAUUUUCUGGUGAGGAUGAGAGGGAAGACGGUGAUGUUCAUGGGGGAUUCACUGGGGCGGAACCAAUGGCAGUCUCUAAUUUGCACGAUAUCCACGGCGGUUCCACGGUCGCCGACCCAAUUGGUGAAAGGAGAUCUUCUGUCCACGUUCAAAGUUUUUGGAAUACAGAGUGUCUGUAUCGUUCUACAGAGCUCCACAUCUGGUGGGCGUAGACGCGGUGCAGGGGAGGAGAAUUCUGAAGCUGAAGGACAUUUCCGGUAAUGCAUACGCCUGGAGGGGUGCCGACGCUUUGUCUUUUAAUUCCGGACAUUGGUGGACUCACAAGGGAGCUCUUCAAGGGUGUGUUAGCAUUGUACGAAUUAUAACAAUACAAUUCCUUCCAAAUUAAAUUAUAGGAUUUGUCAGAGAUGGAGGCCGUCGAGGUAAGCGGAAGCAUUAGCCGAGGUUGCUAGAAUGAUUUAUAAGAGGUUGCUAGAUAAAUAGUAUUUUUACUUUUAAUUGAUAUUUUUAAAAAAAUUAACCUAUUUUAAAAAUUACAAUAAAAAUAUUAGAUCCAAAAGUUACCUUUAUAAUAGCUAUAAUCCCUUUUUCCUUUGCACUAAUCAACAAUUCAAAACACAAGAGGAGACAAUCAGACAAUGUCUCCGCGAGUUCAAGUGUAGUUGUUGCUACGUUGGGCCACAAAACUCUGAAAUCACAGGCUGUCAUUGGGUCAUCUCCUUGCGGGCUAUGACAAAGUGGGCGGAGGCAAGAUUUGUAGGUAAAUUGUUUGUAUUUGAUUUUGGGUUUCUCAAUUGAUACUAUCGUAGAGGAUUAAUGUAUUUUAGCUAGUAUAGGCUGUCAUGUCUCAUUAAGAUUGGAUGCCUAUAUCUGAAUUUCAUCAAAUUUGAACUUUACUCCAUUCUUCAGAUUCAGUUAUUUUGUGAGAAAAUUACCCUGGGCAGCUUGGCUACAUUGCUUUUUUUUUUUUUGGUAAUAUCUACCUUGCUUCAAUGUCUCUAACAGUCUACACUGCUUGGAAGUUCAGAAAUGGUAAGAAACUGCUUUUCUUUUCUUUACAAUAUAUAUUUUUUUUUUCUGAUUAAAGGACAAAAUGAUGCUUGUUGAUAUUAUAAGCUUUUGGAGGUACCAAAUGAGUAGACUCAUGGAGCAGUUAUAAUGAAAUUGAUGGAAGGUUCUCUGCAACUUUUUGUUGGAUUCCAAUUCCAUCUAUUAGAUUUGAAAACUUGUCAUUUUCUUGACAAUGGUUUUAGUGGUGGGUGCUCUCGACAAGGAAAAGGUACUUUGUCCCAUAAUGCUGAAUGCAAAGGAGAUGGGGCUCAUAUCUACUUUGUUGUGAUUAACUGAUUAUAGCCAACACUGAACACCCAGUGGUACUAUGGUCAUGAAGAUGAAGAUCUUACGGUGAAGGGGCUUUUAGGCGAUGAUGUUGAUGUAGUGGUGCAACUCUGAUGGGUUGGCUGAGUUGAUGGUCAACACUAGCCCAACCCUAAGAUGUAAGUCUUGGGCUCGGGCCUGGCCCAACCCAAGGUAAAUCCUGAAUUUAUUAAUGCAGGCCCAAUCCAACAUAAUUCGGUCUGGACUUAGUAAGGCAUAUGCAGGUUGAUCAGGUUUGAAAGAUUUUUUUGAAUAUAUUCUUGUGUAACCAUAAAAUGAAUGCAUAUAUUUG